rnacentral:misc_RNA from 1 species
GAACGCACCUUGCGCUCCUUGGUAUUCCGAGGAGCAUGCCUGUUUGAGUGUCAUUAAAUUCUCAACUUCAUUCAGCUUUUGUUAGUUGAAUGUGGCUUGGAUUGUGGGGGGUUGUGCGGGCUUCUUUCAAGUCGGCUCCCUUUAAAUGCAUUAGCGGAAAACCCUUGUGGACCGUCUUUGGUGUGAUAACUAUCUACGCCUGUGGUUUUCCACCGGAUAACCUUCAGUGAUGGAGGUUCGCUGGAGCUCAUAAAUGUCUCUCCUCAGUGAAGACAGCCUUUUGAACGUUUGAUCUCAAAUCAGGUAGGACUACCCGCUGAACUUAAG